rnacentral:lncRNA from 1 species
GGGGGGGGGACGCCGGUUGCGCAGUGGUGGUGCUGCUGCGACUCGGGAAACUAUGGGAACCUGACCCGCGAGGACUCAGACCAAGCGUCAACGUGACCGUGUGCACCACAUCUCGAUCGUCACUGUGGAAACGGUGUCGUGCGCGGGGAGAAACUGCGCAGCCGUGCGUGUGAUGAGCUGCUUCGGGUAAAAUGAUGGCUGCAUGUUGAUGGGAAGCAUCGAGCCACUGAUACAGCAGAAGCAGUCAUUGAUUGGGUUCACGAACUGUAAGAAAAUGGUGGAAAGUUACUGUAUUGGUGUCCCAUUGCUGCUGUGACAGAUUGCCACAGACUUAAUGACUUCAAACUGCACAUGUAAGCAUUCAAUUAUUACUAGAGUUGUUAAUAAUUAACACUACGUAGGACUAUUCUUACUAUUGCUCUGUCCUACAGAGAAAGGAGCAUUAUAAACCCAGCAUU